rnacentral:sRNA from 1 species
UUCCACCUUCUGCAAUCCUCUCCGUCGUGAUAAUCAAAUUUGUUUAUU